rnacentral:rRNA from 1 species
CUUGACAUCCCGAUGCUAUUUCUAGAGAUAGAAAGUUACUUCGGUACAUCGGUGACAGGUGGUGCAUGGUUGUCGUCAGCUCGUGUCGUGAGAUGUUGGGUUAAGUCCCGCAACGAGCGCAACCCCUAUUGUUAGUUGCCAUCAUUCAGUUGGGCACUCUAGCGAGACUGCCGGUAAUAAACCGGAGGAAGGUGGGAUGACGUCAAAUCAUCAUGCCCCUUAUGACCUGGGCUACACACGUGCUACAAUGGUUGGUACAACGAGUUGCGAGUCGGUGACGGCGAGCUAAUCUCUUAAAGCCAAUCUCAGUUCGGAUUGUAGGCUGCAACUCGCCUACAUGAAGUCGGAAUCGCUAGUAAUCGCGGAUCAGCACGCCGCGGUGAAUACGUUCCCGGGCCUU